rnacentral:rRNA from 1 species
UUAGAGUUUGAUCCUGGCUCAGGACGAACGCUGGCGGCGUGCCUAACACAUGCAAGUCGAGCGAAGUUUCCAGAGUUGAUCCUUUAGGGGUGACACACUGGAAAUCUUAGCGGCGGACGGGUGAGUAACGCGUGAGAAACCUGCCUUUUACAAAGGGAUAGCCUCUGGAAACGGGGAUUAAUACCUUAUGAUACUUUUAUUCCACCUGGAAUGAUGGUCAAAGCGUAAAGCGGUAAAAGAUGGUCUCACGUCCCAUUAGCUAGUUGGUGAGAUAAAAGCUCACCAAGACAAUGAUACGUAGCCGACCUGAGAGGGUGAUCGGCCACACUGGGACUGAGACACGGCCCACACUCCUACGGGAGGCAGCAGUAGGGAAUCUUCCACAAUGGGUGCAAACCUGAUGGAGCAAUGCCGCGUGAAUGAAGAAGGUCUUCGGAUCGUAAAGUUCUGUUAUUAGUGAAGAACAAAUCGAGGAGUAACUGUCUCGAUUUUGACGGUAACUAACCAGAAAGUCACGGCUAACUACGUGCCAGCAGCCGCGGUAAUACGUAGGUGACAAGCGUUGUCCGGAAUUAUUGGGCGUAAAGGGAGCGCAGGCGGUUGGAAUAGUCUGAUGUGAAAGCCCACGGCUUAACCGUGGAAGGUCAUUGGAAACUGUCCAACUUGAAUGCAGAAGAGGUAAGUGGAAUUCCAUGUGUAGCGGUGAAAUGCGUAGAUAUAUGGAGGAACACCAGUGGCGAAGGCGACUUACUGGUC